rnacentral:rRNA from 1 species
AUUGAACGCUGGCGGCAUGCCUAACACAUGCAAGUCGAACGGCAGCACGGGAGCUUGCUCCUGGUGGCGAGUGGCGGACGGGUGAGUAAUGCAUAGGAAUCUGCCCAGUAGCGGGGGACAACUUGGGGAAACUCAAGCUAAUACCGCAUGCGCCCUACGGGGGAAAGCGGGGGACCUUCGGGCCUCGCACUAUUGGAUGAGCCUAUGUCAGAUUAGCUUGUUGGUGGGGUAACGGCCUACCAAGGCGACGAUCUGUAGCUGGUCUGAGAGGACGAUCAGCCACACUGGGACUGAGACACGGCCCAGACUCCUACGGGAGGCAGCAGUGGGGAAUAUUGCACAAUGGGCGAAAGCCUGAUGCAGCAAUGCCGCGUGUGUGAAGAGGGCCUUGCGGGUUUGUAAAAGCACUUUCAGUAGGGAGGAAACAGUUAGCCGGUUAAUAUCCGGUUGCCUUGACGUUACCUACAGAAGAAGCACCGGCUU